rnacentral:rRNA from 1 species
UACGUAGGGGGCAAGCGUUGUCCGGAAUCAUUGGGCGUAAAGCGCGUGUAGGCGGCUCGAUAAGUCUGCUGUGAAAGUUCAGGGCUCAACCCUGAAAUGCCGGUGGAAACUGUCGGGCUAGAGUCCGGAAGAGGCGAGUGGAAUUCCUGGUGUAGUGGUGAAAUGCGCAGAUAUCAGGAGGAACACCAAUGGCGAAGGCAGCUCGCUGGGACGGUACUGACGCUGAGACGCGAAAGCGUGGGGAGCAAACAGG